rnacentral:rRNA from 1 species
UACGGAGGGUGCAAACGUUGCUCGGAAUCAUUGGGCGUAAAGCGCACGUAGGCGGUCCAGCAAGUCGGGUGUGAAAGCCCUCGGCUUAACCGAGGAAGUGCAUUCGAAACUACUGGACUUGAGUACUGAAGAGGAUCGCGGAAUUCCCGGUGUAGAGGUGAAAUUCGUAGAUAUCGGGAGGAACACCAGUGGCGAAGGCGGCGAUCUGGGCAGAUACUGACGCUGAGGAGCGAAAGCGUGGGGAGCGAACAGG